UACGGGGGGAGCAAGCGUUGUUCGGAUUUACUGGGCGUAAAGGGCGCGUAGGCGGCCACCGCAAGUCAGUUGUGAAAUCUCUGGGCUUAACCCAGAAAGGUCAACUGAUACUGCGGGGCUAGAGUGCAGAAGGGGCAACUGGAAUUCUCGGUGUAGCGGUGAAAUGCGUAGAUAUCGAGAGGAACACCUGCGGCGAAGGCGGGUUGCUGGGCUGACACUGACGCUGAGGAGCGAAAGCCAGGGGAGCAAACGGG
rnacentral:rRNA from 1 species